rnacentral:rRNA from 1 species
AUUGAACGCUGGCGGCAGGCCUAACCCAUGCAAGUCGAACGAGUGGCGGACGGGUGAGUAAUGUCUGGGAAACUGCCUGAUGGAGGGGGAUAACUACUGGAAACGGUAGCUAAUACCGCAUACCAUCAGAUGUGCCCAGAUGGGAUUAGCUAGUGGGGUGGGUAACGGCUCACCAAGGCGACGAUCCCUAGCUGGUCUGCAAGGAUGACCAGCCACAAUGGAACUGAGACACGGUCCAGACUCCUACGGGAGGCAGCAGUGGGGAAUAUUGCACAAUGGGCGGAAGCCUGAUGCAGCCAUGCCGCGUGUAUGAAGAAGGCCGUCGGGUUGUAAAGUACUUUCAGCGGGGAGGCGUUACCCGGAGAAGAAGCACCGGCUAACUCCGUGCCAGCAGCCGCGGUAAUUC